rnacentral:rRNA from 1 species
AGUGAACGCUGGCGGUAGGCCUAACACAUGCAAGUCGAACGGCAGCACUGUAAGAGCUUGCUCUUACGGGUGGCGAGUGGCGGACGGGUGAGGAAUACAUCGGAAUCUACUUUUUCGUGGGGGAUAACGUAGGGAAACUUACGCUAAUACCGCAUACGACCUACGGGUGAAAGCAGGGGAUCUUCGGACCUUGCGCGAUUGAAUGAGCCGAUGUCGGAUUAGCUAGUUGGCGGGGUAAAGGCCCACCAAGGCGACGAUCCGUAGCUGGUCUGAGAGGAUGAUCAGGCACACUGGAACUGAGACACGGUCCAGACUCCUACGGGAGGCAGCAGUGGGGAAUAUUGGACAAUGGGCGCAAGCCUGAUCCAGCCAUACCGCGUGGGUGAAGAAGGCCUUCGGGUUGUAAAGCCCUUUUGUUGGGAAAGAAAAGCAGCAGGUUAAUACCCCGCUGUUCUGACGGUACCCAAAGAAUAAGCACCGGCUAACUUCGUG